rnacentral:misc_RNA from 1 species
GUAGGUGAACCUGCGGAAGGAUCAUUACCUCAAUUACAUCUCAACAAAAACCAUAAACUGUGUAUUAUAAUUUUAAUAGUAUACUUUCUCUCUUUGUUCUUCUUCUUCUUCUUCUUCUUCUUCUUCUUCUUCUUCUUCUUCUUUGUGUUGAUCUUCUUAGCGAAGUUGUGACAUAGAGAAAAGAGAGAGAGAGAGAGAAGAGAAAAGAUGAGGGAAGAGCAUAAAGAAAUAACAACCCCCAACCAUUUUC